rnacentral:rRNA from 1 species
GGCCUGCCCACUGAAGGUUUAAAUGGCCGCGGUAUUUUGACCGUGCAAAGGUAGCAUAAUAAUUAGUUUUUUAAUUGAAAGCUGGAAUGAAAGGUUGGAUGAGAAAAUAACUGUCUCUAUUUAGAUUAAUUAGAAUUUUAUUUUUAAGUAAAAAAGCUUAAAUAAUAAUAGAAGACGAGAAGACCCUAUAGAGUUUUAAUUUAGUUGGGGUGAUUGAAAAAUUUAAUUAACUUUUUUUGUAUUUAAACAUUAAUAUAUGAAUAUUUGAUCCUUUAUUUAAGAUUAAAAGAAAAAAUUACCUUAGGGAUAACAGCGUAAUUUUUUUAGAGAGUUCAAAUCGAAAAAAAAGAUUGCGACCUCGAUGUUGGAUUAAAAUUAAGUCUUGGUGUAGAAGCUAA